CUCUGCUUUGGGCUUUCUCAGUUUGGGAACUCUUACAGCUAUUUUUUAAAUGCUGUUCCACCUUGUUUUGCAGUGCUGUGCCAGGCUUCAGACCGUUCCUCUUCCAGCCUUCUCCAUGUUUGUUUGCAUCAUGGGCUCCUUCCUCCCCACACAGCUUUGAAAAGGCGAGAACAGCUCCUGAGGCAUGGCUGAUCCCAGCUUUGGCCCAAACACUCAUCACUACCAGAGGUCAUUAAGAGCCCUGCACUUGAUGUCCUCCCUGUGGCCCUGCUGUGGCCAUUGUUACCAGGGUCACUGUCCAGUGCUGUCUUAGGGACCAUCAUUUAGGAGCAGUCUUCCCCAGCAGCUCUGUAGAUAGGAGUCACAGCCUGGCCCUCUCUGCCAGGAGAGCUCAGCUCUCUGUAGGGAUGGACAGAGCCACAAACUGGUGCAGAGGUUUGAAGAGCUGUGCUAGGCAGAGAUGAACCUAGCCCUGAGCUUCUCUCUAGGAUGUUCCUUCAGCAGUUCCUAGCAGGUUUUGUCCCCAGUCUUUCGUGCAGUGCCUUUGCCGGGUCCCGCACUCCGCGGUGAUGCAGCGAGGACGUUUUGCAGAGACCAUGUCUGGCUUUGCAUCCCUGCCUCUUAGGACACAGCCCCUAGGAUGCCUCUUAGGCCCGUGGUUUGUAUUGUUCUGUGUGAAUUACAGGAUGUGAUGGUGGAAAUCUGCUACCUGGGAUCUGACAUGAAUUGUUUGCUUUCUCAGGAAGCCUCACGCUUGUCCGUCGCCUUCCCCUUUGCACACACAUCCCUGUGCCUGCGCUCGCUCAGACACACGGGGCUGCGCCGUGCAGCAAAUUGCUUAUACACAUCAGAAAUGGACAAUGAAGGUUCUGCGGGACAGAGCUUUCUUACUCUGCGAUGCCUUUUGGUCUAUCACAAUCUUGAAGAGGAUAUCCAAUGUCUGGAUAAAUCUGCUGGAAAACAAUAGACAGCCAAUUCCAGUGCCUGGAUGAAGACAAAAACACCCAUCAAAGAAGGACAAAUGCAUGAAGUUCUGCUAAUUCCAAGAUCACCUGAGGGCAAGUUUAGCUGGUGCUGAUGCACGAACAGCACCAGGGCUUUGCCAGGUGUCAUCUGCAAUCGGUUGUGAGUGGAGGCUGUUAAAAUGCAAGGGAUAUUUUUUGUGUGGGUGCUGGAGUGAGCUGAGUUUGAUGAGUCAUUGUUGAGUGCAUGUUGGAGAAGUCAAUGCAGAGCAGGUGUUAUUGGCAAUUUUGGAGUGAAAGGCAGAAAGUCAAUUGUGGAGACUCCACUACAGCCUACAGGGCGUGGAGACACUUUGUACAACAGUAAAAUUGCUAAUGCCAAUGAGGACGUUGAUACACACACACAUUGCAAAUGAGCUUCCCCUUUACCAGCACAUUUCAAUUGUGCCCAUUUGCUUUGGUAUUGAAACAGUUACACCAGGCCACUGAACAUGUGAUUACGUUUUUCUCGCCUAUUAAAAUCCCUAUACGAGCCCAUGCUGAUUAGAGAUCCUAUUGUGUGUAUUUAGGGGGGGAAAAAGGCUCUGUAGUGGCUAUGCAUGAGACAGUAUGUUCUAGGAGCCAGAGGAUGCCCUGUAAUUUAUGAGAGACAAAGAGGUACAUUAGAUAUUGUUAGAAUACAUAAUAAUCCCCUGGCAAUAAUUUAUUUGGCUUGCAAGGUUAGGAUCUCCAUAAUUCUUGGUUGCACUCUAAUGAAGACUGCUGAUGCUGAUUAUAUAUUUUUGUGUACAUUAGAGGUACCUGUGAAUAUAUGGAUACUGUUCUUGCCUCCUGCCACCUCACUACUCACAGAGCUGCCAGUGGGACUAUAUUGUGUGGUCCAUUUGUCUAAAUAGUCCAGGCAAGUGCAUCAGCUGUAUUGGCUUCUUGUCAGUGGUUCUCUGUAACUUUGGGCCAUAAAAUGAUCCUCUGCAGGUUUCACCUGCUUUUCUCACGCUGUUAGAU
rnacentral:lncRNA from 1 species